GAGGCUGACUUGGGAGGAUUGCUUGAGCCCAGGAGUUCCAAACUGAAGUGAGCCAUGAUUGUGUCACUGCACUCCAGCUUGGGAAACAGAGGGAGACCAAGACUCAAAAAAAAAAACUGGCCUCAGAAGGAAUUUUAUGGAACCUUGUAUUCUGUUGAAUACCAGAAUUAUAUCAGCAAUCCCAAAGUCACCAAAUGGGCAUCAUCAUGACAGCAGACUUCAUCAUGAAUUCAUGGCAUCACACAGUCCCCUGAUGCUAUAACAUCAUGGAUUUCUUUUGUCCAGUGAGAGGCCCAAAAGCUGCAGCAUAGACAAUAUCAUAGUGUAGAAGGUUCACUAGACCGUGAUCAUGGGCUACAUUCUCCGUACCAGCUUCAUAGCUCCAGUGAGAAAAUAAAUUCCUGCAUCCAGGAGAUGUGGAGUAAGAGAUACAGCUGCCCUUGACCAUAUUUCUUACUUCCGAGA
rnacentral:lncRNA from 1 species